rnacentral:rRNA from 1 species
AUUGAACGCUGGCGGCAGGCCUAACACAUGCAAGUUGAACGGUAACAGGAAACAGCUUGCUGUUUCGCUGACGAGUGGCGGACGGGUGAGUAAUGUCUGGGAAACUGCCUGAUGGAGGGGGAUAACUACUGGAAACGGUAGCUAAUACCGCAUAACGUCGCAAGACCAAAGAGGGGGACCUUCGGGCCUCUUGCCAUCGGAUGUGCCCAGAUGGGAUUAGCUAGUAGGUGGGGUAACGGCUCACCUAGGCGACGAUCCCUAGCUGGUCUGAGAGGAUGACCAGCCACACUGGAACUGAGACACGGUCCAGACUCCUACGGGAGGCAGCAGUGGGGAAUAUUGCACAAUGGGCGCAAGCCUGAUGCAGCCAUGCCGCGUGUAUGAAGAAGGCCUUCGGGUUGUAAAGUACUUUCAGCGGGGAGGAAGGGAGUAAAGUUAAUACCUUUGCUCAUUGACGUUACCCGCAGAAGAAGCACCGGCUGACUCCGUGCCAGCCGCCGCCGUAA